UACAUUUCCCCAAGUGACUGAAUUCAAUAACACAGAGCCCAAAUGAACAGAAAAAAAUGGAUUUUAUUAAUGCGGGUCAGACAGUUCCUUUAAAGCGAACCGAGCUGGAGUCCGACGGUUUCAGUACACGACAAACAUGACACGUCUGAUCGGAACUCGCCGCCUCCUUCUGCAUCAGCUCAAAUUGAACAGGGGGGAAUUAAGAAAUCGGCGACUGUUUCUCUGUGCGACAACAACCGUCGGUUUAAAAAAAAAAACAACAGCGCCCUUGUGCUCUGGAUAACGCUCAAAAAACAAACACGCACGUCUCUGAAAUAGUGUUUAAAACAUCAGUUGUUGUGUUAGUGCACAUAAAACCACAGGGCUCUCGCUCUCUAACUUGGCCACAUCGAACAUGACACCGGUAGCAACGCAGCCGCGACUGCGACCGACAACAAGUACACAACAGUGAAGAAGGAAUGUUCUGCGAAAUGAACAAAAAAACAAACAUAAAAACAGCUUGUUGCAUCAUAUUCAGCCAGGCAGUCUACCGCCGUCUCCUGUUUCCAUGAAGACGACGACAUCAUCAUCAGUCAGACGGUUUCAGUCAACAACAGAAAAGGCAGAGACGUGAAGAAGAAACUAUCUCGACUUCAACCGCCUGAACACACACACACACCGAAAAGUACAGGUAGGCUUCGUCCGAGUCCAAAGGCUGAUGUGGGCGUCGCCCGGUCCACGUUGGCACCUCGUCUAACAAAAUUAAACAACAAGUUUAUGGCUGAAAUUCUGCGCGAAAAAAACCCAUCCCCUUAGGUCCACAAACAACUGCAUCUGUUAGCAUCAAGAAUAAGCGCUGGAAGUUUGUCUUUAAGUAUAAAACGACUGAUGAUCUUUUAUACUUUUAUGGCCCGGUAAAAACUAAACAAGAACAAAAAAAAGACGACAAAUGGCAAAUGAGGUGUUGGCAGCGUUUAUAUUAUUACUAUUAUUGUAGAAUAUCGCAGCUUAUUACAUUGAUUUGAGUUGUUUCUAAGGAUUGACUCCGUGGCACGUAAAAGUUAAGUCUAAACUGUUCUGUAAAUAGAGCUGAGCGAUAAAAGAAGAAUGAAUUCUACAAGAGAAUUUAAUAUUAUGAGAAAUAUCCUUGUGAUCAUUUUCCGUUUAUUUUGUCUUUUAGGUGUAUUUUAUUUAGAUUAAUGAAAGUGAGUCAGAAUAAACAAAAAAACAAGAGCAAAUUCGCACUAAAUUCUAAUAGAAACUGGACAUGUUUUAAUCGUGCUGGGCCUUUUACAUUAUUUUCAUCUUAUUCUGUUUUUUAGCUGUUUUAGUCGUUUUCAUUUUUUUUGCAUCUUUUCCGCCAAUUUCAUGUUUUUUUUUUUUACAUCCGUCUCAUGUUCUUACCACAAAGAACUGUCUGAUUUCUUUCGCUCGGGAGCAAAAUGUGCCUUUAAAACGUUAAAUAAUUCCAUUUAUUGCAAUAAGUAUCGAUAUCGACCGACUGGAAAAUUACGAUCACGGUAUAAUUUUUUUUUCGUCUUAUCGCUCAGCCCUAACUGUAAAAAGAUAAACUCGCAGUAUUCCAGUGCUGAAAACAUAAAUGUAAAUGAACAGUUAAAGGUAAAUGGAUG